GCCAUUUCCUCCUCCAGGAACUCCUGUCCUGGUGUUUGGCCAGGGCUCUGCCUGGCAGCUGGUUAGGAGGGGGAAGGCCUUGGUUCUCUUUCCCCUCUGCCACCACGGUUCCACUUGGAGCCGCAUAUGGACACCUGGGUCAUCGCAGAACUUUAAGUAGAGUUUCCUGUGCCAUACGCAUGGUCUACUCUACAAGGUGUGAGACAUUUCUAUCUUGACCACAUUCAGUCCAAAGGCCCUCACUAUGCAUGGAAGAAACAAAACGAUAUAAAACAGUUCUUAUUCCUAGGAGCAGACAACUUACUUGGGGAAAACUCAUGAAUCAGAUCACAAGGAGGUAAUGGCUUGACGAUUUUCAGCUUCAACCCAGUAAUCAAGGAACUACCCUUCCUCUUACACUAGGGGGUGCGUGAGGACUAAGAUUCAGAAUCUUCUCGGCCAUCUUCUCCACAGUGAUUUGUGUCAGCUACUGCCCCCUUUCUUCAGAACUGGUUUUCCAGUGUCAUGACUUGGAAGAGGGAAAAGAAUUCCCGGAAACCUCCCCUACCUCACAAACCAGGCAUGUCCUCCACCGGGUUGCUCUGCCCUCUUCACCACGGGACAGGCACACCCUGACCUACCCACAGGGCGCAGCAUUUCUGGGGCAUCCUGCCCAGAACUGGGGACCCACAGAAGAAAAGAGAAGCACUGCUUUAAACACAGGACAGGGAACAACAGGAAGCCAGAAGGAAUAGAGGAGAAAUCCAGUAGAGAGUGUAAAGUGAUGAGAGACCUUUUCCAUAUGUGUGGCCAUUAAAAAAAUUAUUCCCAUCC
ensembl:lncRNA